rnacentral:snRNA from 1 species
UCACCUCUGACAGCGUGUUGCCGCGGCGCUCCAGCAGGCGGCUCACCUUUGUGAGCCACUCUGGCUUGUGCUGACCCGUGCGAAUUCCCCAAAUGUGGGAAUCUCGACUGCAUAAUUUCUGGUAGUGGGGGACCUGCGUUCGCGCUCUCCCCUG